GCCUUCGUGGUGUAGUGGUCAGCACGCUGGCUAAGUAUUCUAGAGGGCAGUGGUUCGAGUCCCGGCGAAGGCG
rnacentral:tRNA from 1 species